rnacentral:rRNA from 1 species
CCUACGGGUGGCAGCAGUGGGGAAUAUUGGGCAAUGGGCGCAAGCCUGACCCAGCAACGCCGCGUGAAGGAAGAAGGCUUUCGGGUUGUAAACUUCUUUUCUCAGGGACGAAGAAAGUGACGGUACCUGAGGAAUAAGCCACGGCUAACUACGUGCCAGCAGCCGCGGUAAUACGUAGGUGGCAAGCGUUAUCCGGAUUUAUUGGGUUUAAAGGGUGCGUAGGCGGCGCUUCAGGUCAGCGGUGAAAUACCGGGGCUCAACCCCGGGGCUGCCGUUGAAACCGGAGCGCUAGAAUUCCGAUGCCGUCGGAGGAAUGUGUGGUGUAGCGGUGAAAUGCAUAGAUAUCACACAGAACACCGAUUGCGAAGGCAUCUGACGAAUCGGAGAUUGACGCUGAUGCACGAAAGCGUGGGUAUCGAACAGGAUUAGAUACCCUUGUAGUC